rnacentral:lncRNA from 1 species
AGAAGGGCCUCGUGGCUGGCUCCUGUGCCGGAGUCUCAGGAAGAGUGGGUCUGCAGUUUGGGCGAGUGCCCGAGGGGGACAGAGGAAGGUGAGGAGCAGUGUUUCCUGCCUUCCCGGGAGGUGAAGGAGGACAGGUGGGGUCAGAGCCUCUGGUGUGAAUUCUUUCCUAGGAGUGAAACUGUCCUCUCUGGCUUUAGUUACAUCCAAACAGCUGCCACAGGAUGGCAAAGAAGAAACAGAAAGCGCUCCAAGAGAUUCUGAGAGGCUGUCAAAGGCAGAAA